rnacentral:rRNA from 1 species
ACACGACUACAUUAGAUACCCGUGUGUCCUAGCCGUAAACGAUACUCGCUAGGUGUCGGCCACGGUGCGACCGUUGUCGGUGCCGUAGGGAAGCCGUGAAGCGAGCCACCUGGGAAGUACGGCCGCAAGGCUGAAACUUAAAGGAAUUGGCGGGGGAGCACCACAACGGGUGGAGCUUGCGGUUUAAUUGGAUUCAACGCCGGAAAUCUUACCGGGACCGACAGCAACAUGAAGGCCAGGCUGAAGACUUUGCCGGAUUAGCUG